AUUGAACGCUGGCGGCAGGCUUAACACAUGCAAGUCGAGCGGAAACGAUGGUAGCUUGCUACCAGGCGUCGAGCGGCGGACGGGUGAGUAAUACUUAGGAAUCUACCUAGUAGUGGGGGAUAGCUCGGGGAAACUCGAAUUAAUACCGCAUACGACCUACGGGAGAAAGGGGGCAGUUUACUGCUCUCGCUAUUAGAUGAGCCUAAGUCGGAUUAGCUAGAUGGUGGGGUAAAGGCCUACCAUGGCGACGAUCUGUAGCUGGUCUGAGAGGAUGAUCAGCCACACCGGGACUGAGACACGGCCCGGACUCCUACGGGAGGCAGCAGUGGGGAAUAUUGGACAAUGGGGGAAACCCUGAUCCAGCCAUGCCGCGUGUGUGAAGAAGGCCUUUUGGUUGUAAAGCACUUUAAGCAGUGAAGAAGACUCCGUGGUUAAUACCCACGGACGAUGACAUUAGCUGCAGAAUAAGCACCGGCUAACUCUGUGCCAGCAGCCGCGGUAAUACAGAGGGUGCAAGCGUUAAUCGGAAUUACUGGGCGUAAGGGGAGCGUAGGUGGCUCGAUAAGUCAGAUGUGAAAUCCCCGGGCUCAACCUGGGAACUGCAUCUGAUACUGUUGAGCUAGAGUAUGUGAGAGGAAGGUAGAAUUCCAGGUGUAGCGGUGAAAUGCGUAGAGAUCUGGAGGAAUACCGAUGGCGAAGGCAGCCUUCUGGCAUAAUACUGACACUGAGGCUCGAAAGCGUGGGUAGCAAACAGGAUUAGAUACCCUGGUAGUCCACGCCGUAAACGAUGUCUACUAGUCGUUGGGUCCCUUGAGGACUUAGUGACGCAGCUAACGCAAUAAGUAGACCGCCUGGGGAGUACGGCCGCAAGGUUAAAACUCAAAUGAAUUGACGGGGGCCCGCACAAGCGGUGGAGCAUGUGGUUUAAUUCGAUGCAACGCGAAGAACCUUACCUGGUCUUGACAUAUCUAGAAUCCUGCAGAGAUGCGGGAGUGCCUUCGGGAAUUAGAAUACAGGUGCUGCAUGGCUGUCGUCAGCUCGUGUCGUGAGAUGUUGGGUUAAGUCCCGCAACGAGCGCAACCCUUGUCCUUAGUUACCAGCGGGUUAAGCCGGGAACUCUAAGGAUACUGCCAGUGACAAACUGGAGGAAGGCGGGGACGACGUCAAGUCAUCAUGGCCCUUACGACCAGGGCUACACACGUGCUACAAUGGUAGGUACAGAGGGCAGCUACACAGCGAUGUGAUGCGAAUCUCAAAAAGCCUAUCGUAGUCCAGAUUGGAGUCUGCAACUCGACUCCAUGAAGUAGGAAUCGCUAGUAAUCGCGGAUCAGAAUGCCGCGGUGAAUACGUUCCCGGGCCU
rnacentral:rRNA from 1 species